AAUAGUACCCGGGUAGUCCACGCCCUAAACGAUGCUCACUAGGUGUUGGGGAAGCGAUUCCUUGGUACCGUAGCUAACGCGUGAAGUGAGCCGCCUGGGGAGUACGGCCGCAAGGUUAAAACUCAAAGGAAUUGACGGGGACCCGCACAAGCGGUGGAUGAUGUGGAUUAAUUCGAUGCAACGCGAACAACCUUACCUACCCUUGACAUGUCCGGAAGCCUGCUGAAAGGCGGGGUGCUCGAAAGAGAACCGGAACACAGGUGCUGCAUGGCUGUCGUCAGCUCGUGUCGUGAGAUGUUGGGUUAAGUCCCGCAACGAGCGCAACCCUUGUCCCUAGUUGCUACGCAAGGGCACUCUAGGGAGACUGCCGGUGACAAACCGGAGGAAGGUGGGGAUGACGUCAAGUCCUCAUGGCCCUUAUGGGUAGGGCUUCACACGUCAUACAAUGGACGGUACAGAGGGUUGCCAACCCGCGAGGGGGAGCCAAUCCCAGAAAGCCGUUCGUAGUCCGGAUCGCAGUCUGCAACUCGACUGCGUGAAGUCGG
rnacentral:rRNA from 1 species